rnacentral:tRNA from 1 species
UCAUGGCUCAGUGGCAGAGAAUCUGCUUUGCAUGCAGAAGGUCCCAGGUUCAAUCCCCACCAUCUCAA